ACACAUGCAAGUCGAACGGUAGCACAGAGAGCUUGCUCUCGGGUGACGAGUGGCGGACGGGUGAGUAAUGUCUGGGAAACUGCCUGAUGGAGGGGGAUAACUACUGGAAACGGUAGCUAAUACCGCAUAACGUCGCAAGACCAAAGAGGGGGACCUUCGGGCCUCUUGCCAUCAGAUGUGCCCAGAUGGGAUUAGCUAGUAGGUGGGGUAACGGCUCACCUAGGCGACGAUCCCUAGCUGGUCUGAGAGGAUGACCAGCCACACUGGAACUGAGACACGGUCCAGACUCCUACGGGAGGCAGCAGUGGGGAAUAUUGCACAAUGGGCGCAAGCCUGAUGCAGCCAUGCCGCGUGUAUGAAGAAGGCCUUCGGGUUGUAAAGUACUUUCAGCGGGGAGGAAGGUGUUGUGGUUAAUAACCACAGCAAUUGACGUUACCCGCAGAAGAAGCACCGGCUAACUCCGUGCCAGCAGCCGCGGUAAUACGGAGGGUGCAAGCGUUAAUCGGAAUUACUGGGCGUAAAGCGCACGCAGGCGGUCUGUCAAGUCGGAUGUGAAAUCCCCGGGCUCAACCUGGGAACUGCAUUCGAAACUGGCAGGCUAGAGUCUUGUAGAGGGGGGUAGAAUUCCAGGUGUAGCGGUGAAAUGCGUAGAGAUCUGGAGGAAUACCGGUGGCGAAGGCGGCCCCCUGGACAAAGACUGACGCUCAGGUGCGAAAGCGUGGGGAGCAAACAGGAUUAGAUACC
rnacentral:rRNA from 1 species